ensembl:lncRNA
GAGAGGACAGCCAAUGAUGCAGAGAGCACAGGGAGAGGAGAAACACCAGGUCCAAUAGAGAGAGGAGAGAGAGAAGGCAGCACCUGACGUGGAGGACAAGGAGGCCCUCAGGGCACUACUGUGAAAAGGAGACUCCCCAGACAAGCCAAGAGAUUUGUGUCCCUGGAAACAUAAGCGUCUCACUCAGCCAGUGCCACAGGACACCCUCUUCUAGACGCCCCCCCCCCGACACCCUCCUCCCCGCCACACCAACUAAUCAGCCGCGGGAUCCGGGCCAGUGUGCACAAUGUGCCCGCAAAAUUGCCAGUUGGGUCCCCGCUGCUGAGAUGGUGACUGUGGGCCAAAGGAAAGUGGACCCAGCGCAAGGCGGCCAGCUGGAUGGAGCAGCAGACCCGAAGAGAAUCCGCUUGUACGAGCCGAGGUCGUCUUUCACGGCCUUUGUGGUAGAGAUGAGGUUUUGUGGCUGAAAGUCUUCUCUGAUUCACGUUCAUCACCUCAAACACAAUCUCACUGAAGUCCUCAGUGUUGCAGUGUUCCGCAGCGCGUCAUUUGUCCGGGCGAAGACUCUUCUUCUCACUGAUUAUCUUCUCCUUCUUUACCCUUCAGCGAUUUUUUUUGUGUGUGUUCUAUGAGUUCCUCCCCGUCCAAACCAAGUGUUGUAAAAACUGUGCAGCCC